AUACGGAGGGUCCGAGCGUUAAUCGGAAUUACUGGGCGUAAAGCGCGCGUAGGUGGUUCAGUCAGUCAGAUGUGAAAGCCCCGGGCUCAACCUGGGAACUGCACCUGAUACUGCUGAACUAGAGUACGGUAGAGGGCAGUGGAAUUUCCGGUGUAGCGGUGAAAUGCGUAGAGAUCGGAAGGAACACCAGUGGCGAAGGCGACUGCCUGGACUGAUACUGAGACUGAGGUGCGAAAGCGUGGGUAGCAAACAGGAUUAGAUACCCUGGUAGUCCACGCCGUAAACGAUGUCAACUAGCCGUUGGGGGACUUGAUCCUUUAGUGGCGAAGCUAACGCGAUAAGUUGACCGCCUGGGGAGUACGGCCGCAAGGUUAAAACUCAAAUGAAUUGACGGGG
rnacentral:rRNA from 1 species